GACGAACGCUGGCGGCGUGCCUAAUACAUGCAAGUAGAACGCUGAAGGAGGAGCUUGCUCUUCUGGAUGAGUUGCGAACGGGUGAGUAACGCGUAGGUAACCUGCCUGGUAGCGGGGGAUAACUAUUGGAAACGAUAGCUAAUACCGCAUAAGAGUAGAUGUUGCAUGACAUUUGCUUAAAAGGUGCAAUUGCAUCACUACCAGAUGGACCUGCGUUGUAUUAGCUAGUUGGUGGGGUAACGGCUCACCAAGGCGACGAUACAUAGCCGACCUGAGAGGGGGAUCGGCCACACUGGGACUGAGACACGGCCCAGACUCCUACGGGAGGCAGCAGUAGGGAAUCUUCGGCAAUGGACGGAAGUCUGACCGAGCAACGCCGCGUGAGUGAAGAAGGUUUUCGGAUCGUAAAGCUCUGUUGUAAGAGAAGAACGAGUGUGAGAGUGGAUAGUUCACACUGUGACGGUAUCUUACCAGAAAGAGACGGCUAACUACGUG
rnacentral:rRNA from 1 species